CAUUGUAGUAAGAUGCAAUUUAAACCUGGUUAUACUACUAACACUUUGACUGGAAUGUCUUGUUUUCAGAUAUAGUCAAAUAUGUCACUAGCUUUAAGGCACAGACUGACUAUAUAAUACAAGCCCAGUAGAAAUUACCUCACAUCUGAUCUGCAUGAUUCCCUUACAGGGUUUCUGACCUUGCAGUAAGUAAAGAAUGUUCAUUUUUGAGAAGCCCAGGAAAUACCUACUUUUGAAGGACACCUUGAGGAGACAGCAAUUCAUCCAAAAUGUGCAAUUUUCUGAAACUGUGGCACGAACUGUAUGACUACAAAAUGGAAGGAUGUUAUCUACACCUGCCAUGUUUUUAUAGUUCUGAAAAAUGUUUUAAAAGUAUUUUCUGUGAAUAUGAUGGGCUCAUAUGUGUUUAUGACAGAAUGACAUAAUUGUUUGGCUGCUUCAAAUAGGAGGACUGUGGAAACAAUUUUUAAUACCUGAAUUGUGAAGCUUCAGAAG
rnacentral:lncRNA from 1 species